ACUUUGACAAUUUUUUCUAUGACAAGUGCACUUGUUCAAAAGCUAGCAUGCUAGCUUGUGAACAAGCUAUAGCUUUUGAACAAGUGCACUUGUCAAGAAAAAAAUGUCAAAGU